rnacentral:lncRNA from 1 species
CUAAAGAUCCCUGGGCUUGCUGCGCUGAGAUCACAUGUAGGACAGGCAGGUUUGCCUUUUUCACUUAUUGCUGUUUAUGGAGCACACAUUUUUGUUAUUUAUUUGAAUGAUGGGAAAUGACCACAGUGGGCUGCCCUGAGGACUGUGAGAGUCAGCUGGGAACAGAGGCCGGACGCCCCGAAUGUGAAACGCUGAGUGUGUGUGGACGUGGAACAACUGCGGAGGUGUUAUUUUGGAAGUCGGCCUUCUGCAGUGGUGUUAGAUUAUUGACUUCAAGCAAAAACGGUAAGUCAAAAAAGCCUGUGUUUCGUAUCAUACCCAUCAGGCAUAGAAGUCCCUGCUC